rnacentral:rRNA from 1 species
AAUAAGCGGAGGAAAAGCUCCUAAACUAACUAGGAUUCCCUCAGUAACUGCGAGUGAAGCGGGAAAAGCUCAAAUUUAAAAUCGGACGAGCCUAACCGGCCGUACCGAGUUGUAGUCUAUAGAGGCGGUGUUCUGCAUCGGACCGUGUACAAGUCCCUUGGAAUAGGGCAUCAUAGAGGGUGAGAAUCCCGUCCAUGACACGGAAUCGCCGGUGCUUUGAGAGCCGUCUUCAAAGAGUCGAGUUGUUUGGGAACGCAACUCAAAUUGGGUGGUAAGCUCCAUCUAAAGCUAAAUACAGGCGAGAGACCGAUAGCGAACAAGUACCGUGAGGGAAAGAUGAAAAGCACUUUGGAAAGAGAGUUAAACAGUACGUGAAAUUGCUGAAAGGGAAACGCUUGAAGUCAGUCGCGUUGGCGAAAGGGGCUCAGCCAGGCCUUGGCUUGGUUUAUUCCCCGGUCAACGGGUCAGCAUCGAUUUUAACCGUCGGAAAAGGGCUGGAGGAAGGUGACACCUUGGUGUUUUAUAGCCUUCAGUCGAAUGCGACGGUUGGGAUCGAGGAAGUAUUUGAAAAUAAAAUCUAAAUGGCGGCGGGGCUUGCAUCCGCUCGCCUUUGAUGCUGGCUGAAUGGCUUUAAACGACCCGUCUUGAAACACGGACCAAGGAGUCUAACAUGCCUGCGAGUGUUUGGGUGGAAAACCCGAGCGCGAAAAGAAACUGAAAGGUCGGGAUCUCUGUCGUGGAGAGCACCGACGCCCAGGCGGAAUAAAGGGACCUGCGGUAGAGCAUGCAUGUUGGGACCCGAAAGAUGGUGAACUAUGCCUGAGUAGAGUGAAGCCAGAGGAAACUCUGGUGGAAGCUCGUCGCGGUUCUGACGUGCAAAUCGAUCGUCGAACUCGGGUAUAGGGGCGAAAGACUAAUCGAACCCAUCUAUCGUAGCUGGUUCCUGCCGAAGUUUCCCUCAGGAUAGCAGAAGCUCAUUGCGAAUCAGAUUUACGUGGUAAAGCGAAUGAUUAGAGGCCUUGGGGUCAUGACGACCUCAACCUAUUCUCAAACUUUCAAUGCGUAAGAACCAAGUCUUCCCUGUUGGGGGACGAACUCUGUUCAAUUGACGAGCUUCUA